AAGACUAUACUUUCAGGGAUCAUUUCUAUAGUUUGUUAUUCUCUAUUCCUAUGUUUAGAAGAGAAGGAAAAGUAAAAAGAGAAUUAUGAAAUCUCCAUUCAAAUGGGAGCUUUAAAUUUUGA
rnacentral:snoRNA from 1 species